ACGGGACCGAAAUGGCGUAGCGCGCAGUCCACUGCUGCAGCAGCACAGCGGGGCCAGGCUCACCGAACAUCCCAGAGCCUGGCCCGUCGUACUCCAACCGACGAGUAUGAUGGAGGUGACUUUUAGUUCCAGUUCACUUGCUUCGAAACCAGCACGAGAUCACCGGAGACGAACAGUGCCCUUCAUAUGUCAUAUCACGAAGAGAAAGGAACAGUCCUGGAAGGAGCUCAUGACCAGAUAAGAUCGUCAUGUCUUUGUUCUUCAAACUGCUCUCCACCCCGAUAAGUUGACUUUCCUCCAGCGUUAUUUCAGGGAAGUGUAUGUUCAGCAUACCAACUGUCACUGGUCUAUGAAAAUAUCAUCUCUGCACUUUGGAGACGACAACUGAAGUUGUUUUUAUCCAUGAAAGAACCAUAAACUCUUCAUGUGUCCAAAAAAGUUAAGUAACACAAUUGUGCCACAGUGAAGAGACAUCAUCUGGUCAUAUUUGUUAUAAAUAAAUCAAGUGGAGUAUUUAUAUGUUGCAGGUUGUGUUAAAAUUAAGUGAAAAAGGAAAUGGUGAAAGUGCACUUGCUUUGCAGGUUUGGCUGCCAGUCUCUAUGUUUUCCAAGAGAACAUGUAGAGUGAAAUAAACAUGCCAUUUUCAUCCAGUAACAUCCUCAUGGUUAUUAUCCU
ensembl:lncRNA